GCUGGGCAUGGUGGCGCAUGCCUGUAAUCCCAGCUACUUGGGAGGCUGAGUCAGGAGAAUCGCUUGAACCAGGGGAGCUGGAGGUUGCAGUAAGCUGAGAUCACGCCACUGCACUCCAGCCUGGGUGACAGAGCGAGACUCAAUCUCAA
ensembl:misc_RNA Metazoa_SRP Metazoan signal recognition particle RNA